UACAGAGGGGGCAAGCGUUGUUCGGAAUUACUGGGCGUAAAGGGCUCGUAGGCGGCCAACUAAGUCGGAUGUGGAAAUCCCCAGGCUUAACCUGGGAACUGCAUCCGAUACUGGAUGGCUUGAAUCCGGGAGAGGGAUGCAGAAUUCCAGGUGUAGCGGUGAAAUGCGUAGAUAUCUGGAGGAAUACCGGUGGCGAAGGCGGCAUCCUGGACCGGCAUUGACGCUGAUGAGCGAAAGCUAGGGGAGCAAACGGG
rnacentral:rRNA from 1 species